CGAAAGUUACUCUAACAAACACUUGAAUACACGACAGCUUGGAACAAACUGAGAUUAGAUACCCCACUAUGCCAAGCCGUAAAAUUAAAUUACACUACCAACGCCAGGGAAUUACGAGCUUAAGCUUAAAACCCAAAGGACUUGACGGUGACCCACCCAUCUAGAGGAGCCUGUUCUAUAAUCGAUAAUCCACGCUAUACCUUACCGUUUCUUGCUUCUCAGCUUGUAUACCUCCGUCGUAAAUUCACCGUUUGAACGAAUAGUAGUGUGUCUGACGACCACCCGCCAAUACGUCAGGUCAAGGUGCAGCUCAUGAAACGGAAAGCAAUGGGCUACAAUUUCUAACAUAGAAUAAACGAAAAACUGUAUGAAACACAGUUAUGAAGGCGGAUUUAGUAGUAAAUGGGGAGUAGAGAGCCCCCUUUAAUCUGGCCCUGGGACAUGUACAAACCGCCCGUCACCCUCUUCGA
rnacentral:rRNA from 1 species